rnacentral:rRNA from 1 species
UACAGAGGUCUCGAGCGUUGUUCGGAUUCAUUGGGCGUAAAGGGUGCGUAGGCGGCGGGGCAAGUCUGAUGUGAAAUCCCGGGGCUCAACCCUGGAACUGCAUUGGAUACUGCCUUGCUAGAGUACUGGAGAGGAAACUGGAAUUUACGGUGUAGCAGUGAAAUGCGUAGAGAUCGUAAGGAAGACCAGUGGCGAAGGCGAGUUCUCGGACAGUAACUGA